rnacentral:rRNA from 1 species
UACGGAGGGUGCGAGCGUUGUCCGGAAUCACUGGGCGUAAAGGGCGCGUAGGCGGCCUGAUAAGUAGGGGGUGAAAUCCUGCGGCUUAACCGCAGGGCUGCCUUCUAAACUGUCGGGCUCGAGCACAGUAGAGGCAGGUGGAAUUCCCGGUGUAGCGGUGGAAUGCGUAGAGAUCGGGAGGAACACCAGUGGCGCAGGCGACACCCUGGCCGACAACUGACACUGAAGCGCGAAAGCGUGGGGAGCAAACAGG